rnacentral:rRNA from 1 species
UAAGGAAUAUUGGACAAUGGGCGCAAGCCUGAUCCAGCCAUGCCGCGUGAAGGAUUAAGGCCCUCUGGUUUGUAAACUUUUUUUAUAAGGGACGAAAAAAGGGAAUUCUUUCUCACUUGACGGUACCUUAUGAAUAAGCACCGGCUAACUCCGUGCCAGCAGCCGCGGUAAUACGGAGGGUGCAAGCGUUAUCCGGAAUCACUGGGUUUAAAGGGUGCGUAGGCGGGUAUUUAAGUCAGUGGUGAAAUCCUAUGGCUUAACUCUAGAACUGCCAUUGAUACUAUUUAUCUUGAAUAUUGUGGAGGUAAGCGGAAUAUGUCAUGUAGCGGUGAAAUGCUUAGAUAUGACAUAGAACACCUAUUGCGAAGGCAGCUUACUACGCAUAUAUUGACGCUGAGGCACGAAAGCGUGGGGAUCAAACAGG